rnacentral:rRNA from 1 species
CGGGGAUGUCCUUAGUGGCGCACGGGUGAGUAACGCGUGGGAAUCUGUCCAGGUGUGGGGAAUAACUACGGGAAACUGUAGCUAAUACCGCAUACGACCUACGGGUGAAAGCAGGGGAUCUUCGGACCUUGCGUUACUAGAGCGGCCGAUAUCUGAUUAGGUAGUUGGUAGGGUAAAGGCCUACCAAGCCGACGAUCAGUAGCUGGUCUGAGAGGACGAUCAGCCACACUGGAACUGAGACACGGUCCAGACUCC